GAUUGUCAACAAAGAGACCAUUUAUCUUUUGUACAUGGAGGUCACAAUCAUUAUCGCCCUUAAAUUUCAAAAUGAGUGGUUGUAAGAGUGUCAUUGAUUAGACACAAAGUUCAAAAAAAAAAAAUUCUCUGACUUUGUGACUCUCCCCGAAGCCAUCUAAUUUUACAUCUAAUGAGGGCCUUUAAAAAAUAUGCCCCAUCAGGACCGGUUAGUUUGGUCAUUCAGUGCUAGAUUAGUGGGCUGGCCGGUCUAGAACCUAGUCCAACACUAAUUUUGUGGACCAUUCGGUCCAUGGGGUAGACUGGACAUGACAUGUCAGGGGUUCACUAGUUUUGGUUCGAACCAGCCAGUCCAGUCUUGUCUUAACAUCAUUGAUUAUUGUAUGAUAAACAAAUAUAUUCCUUUUUUUGGGUAAAUCAGUGUGGAUUAGGGUUCCUACCUGUUUUUCAUUAACUCAAAUUUGUAGAGAGAACACAAAACAGAAAGCUCAUAGUAUAAUACUAAAACGUUAAUCAUGAACGACAAUCAUAAGUAGGGAGAAAAUAAGUGCACCACCACAAUUUAUUCAAAAAAAAAAAAAACAUUAAAAAAAAAAAACAAUAUUCUAUGUUCUUUCUUUCUUUUACUUCUGUUUUUCUUUAUUUUCUUUUCUUGAGGAUUUAUCUGUUUUGCUUUUUUUCCAAAACCGAAAUUGAAUAAAAAAUUUAAAAACAAAAAAUUUCCCUAGACAUUUUUCUUUAUUAACUUUUAUUGUGUUUUCGGUUCAUUUUUUGUUUUAAUGACUUACGCAAAAUAUAAAAGUCCUUGCAAGUUGUAAGGUAAAAACCGAAAGUAUAAAAAAAGAAUUGCAAUUUUGCACCAAACAAUUUUUUUUCUUUUUUUUUUGUUUCUUGGAUUCACCUUUUAGGGGUUUUGUACAAAUUUUAAUUGUAAAGUCCUUACAAAUUACAAUAUGUAAAUUUUUAAAAUUAAAACUGUAUAUGUUGAAAAAAAUCCAAAAAUAUUAGGGUGUUUCCGUUUUCUAUAUUUUUGAGUAAUAUUUUGAGGGGUUUUUACAAAUUGUAAUAGCCCUUUAAAACUACUUGGAUUCAUAUUUUAGGGGAUAUUUACAAAUUUUAAUUGUAAAGUCCUUACAAAUUACAAUAUUAAAAUUUUAAAAAUUAAAACGAUAUAUAUAUGGAAAAACCCAAAAAUAUAGGGUGUUUCCUUUUUCUAUAUUUUUGGGUAAUAUUUAGAGGGGCUUUUACAAAAUUGUAAAAGCCCUUUAAAACAACCUAAAAUUUAAUUGUAAAAGCCUUUAAAGCAACCUAAAAUUGCAACCGAAAUGAAAAAUACCUCCAAAAUCGUAAAACCCUAAUUUUUAAUUUCCUAAAACCGGCAAGGCAACAUAUAUUUUCAUUUAUUUUUGUAUUUUCUAAGCUCUAAAAUAAAAUAAUAAAAUAAUAAAUACUAGAAUAUAUAAAAAAUAACUUGGUGUUGAAAUUGGUCGGAAUAUUACCGGAAUUUGGCCAGACAUCUCAUUGGUGGAGGCUGGUUGUUUGAGUGAGCGAGAGAGAUCGAGAGAGAGAGAGAGAUUGAGAGAGAGAGUACAUAAGUUGUUUUUUUCCUUUUAACCCUUUUAUAUAUUUAAUAAGAUCAAAACACCCCCGCUCAAGGCCUUUCUUUCUUAUAAAAAAAUAAAAAUGUUGCAAAAAGUAUCUUUUCUCCGACUACGUUUGGACUGGCCGAUUCACAUCUGAACUGGUGAACCGGCAAGUCCAAUAUUUGCUUUUGGACUGGCCGGUUCACCUGUUUAGACCGGUUCGAAGAUUUCCUUGGUUCAUUGCCGGAACAGAGAAGGUAGCGGUUCAUCGGUUGAACCUGUCGAUCCAGUCUGGUUCAUACAAGAUUGAAAUAGUCCUACUACAAUUUAGGAUCUUUAACUCUUAUUGCUAAAUAAACUUUAUUAAAAAAAAGAAAAACUGAAAUCAAACUCAUAAUUACUAUUAGGAAUUCUAAUCUAAUUUGGAGUCCUUGUCCAAGUAGGAAUCCUAAUUUAAAUAGGACUCUUAAUACAAUUAGGACUUCUAAAACAAAUAUGAAUCAAGAAUUGAAAAUAAAAUUGAUAAACAAAACUGCGAAGACUUUUUAAACCUUUGUCUAAGGUCACCUCCUUAGGACUUAGCACGCUCCACAAUCGAUCUUUGAACCGAUGGUGCACAUUGAUCCUUUGGUCUUGCUGAAUCCUUUGAACUGCGAAGCACCUCAAGCAAUGACCUCCAACUGAGCUAGGCUGAGAGUAUGGAUUACAAUUUUGGGUCUCUUUUCAACCCUUAACCUUUGGUCAUGCCGCAAAGGCACCUACCCUAAACUCAACCGAGGGUGGGCUGGGUGUGCCCCCAAACGUGUUUUGGCUGCCUGGUUGGUGUAUGCCACCCUCAUGACCUUGCCUCUUAGGUGAGGCGUACCUACCUAGAGAGAGAGAGAGAGAGAGAGAGAGAGAGAGAGAGAGAGAGA
rnacentral:lncRNA from 1 species